rnacentral:lncRNA from 1 species
UGGCUUCAGCGUCACCUAGUGCAGGCUGCCAUUCAACAAACGCAUUGUCAACAGUCAACCAAAAGAAACCCAUUGGCCACCAUACCCUGAGGACUAACCCUGACACAGAUGCCCUUCCAGAUGCCCUCAAUAGUCUAACUGAUUCCAUCGCCCCAGCCUUGGGGGAGAAGCACUGCUGCCUAUGCACUCCAUUUACAGAAAAACGUUGACCUCUUGGUGAGAAUGUAAAGAAGGGAACGCUUGCUUAUACACUGUUGGUGAACUGUCACCCCUACAACUCAGCUUGCAACCAGCCCUGGCCACCACCAGUUUCCCCACACUGAGCUGAAUAUUGGACAUGCCCAUCUUAGGCAUUCCAGCCCAUUCUGAAAUUCCACAUCGAUUCACCCGACAAAGUCUGAAGUUCCAGGGCAAUUUAUCUGGAAAAGCUCACCUGGAAUCACGUGUCAUUUCAACCAACAACUGUUGAAGAGGACGUGGCAUUAAAACCAAGGGUAUCAAUUAUUUAUAA